AGCGGUUCCCCGCGAGGCUUUAGGGGCUGGACGGAGGGCGCCCCCUUCCCCCCAGCUGGCAAAACGGAGAGGAGAAGACAACACGCACAACAAAGAAACUUAAGCCCACCGAGGCGGGAGCUGCGGUCCGAGGACCGUCGGCGGAUUUGGGGACAAAGGAGCCGUGGGGCUGGGAACAUUAUAAACAUCACUGGUUCCCAGAAAAGCCAUGCAAGGGAUCGGGUUACCGUUGUAUUCGCAUCAACCAUAAAAUGGAUCCUCUGAUUGGACAGGCAGCACAGCGGAUUGGACUGAGCAGUCAGGAGCUGUUCAGGCUUCUCCCAAGUGAACUCACACUCUGGGUUGACCCCUAUGAAGUGUCCUACAGAAUUGGAGAGGAUGGCUCCAUCUGUGUGCUGUAUGAAGCCUCACCAGCAGGAGGUAGCACUCAAAACAG
rnacentral:lncRNA from 1 species